CAGCCCUAAACGAUGCGCGUUAGGUGUAUCGGUGACCACGAGUCACCGAGGUGCCGAAGGGAAACCGUGAAACGUGCCGCCUGGGAAGUACGGUCGCAAGGCUGAAACUUAAAGGAAUUGGCGGGAGAGCACCACAACGGGUGGAGCCUGCGGUUUAAUUGGACUCAACGCCGGGAAGCUCACCGGAUAAGACAGCGGAAUGAUUGCCGGGCUGAAGACCCUGCAUGACCAGCUGAGAGGAGGUGCAUGGCGUAACGUCU
rnacentral:rRNA from 1 species